rnacentral:tRNA from 1 species
GGACGUAUGGUGUAAUGGAUAGCAUACUAGCCUGCGGAGCUUGAGAUUCGGGUUCGAUUCCCGGUAUGUCCG